GAACUGUUACCGACUUUUAGGUUACAUAAUAUUGCCAAAUGGAAAAGUUAGACUAUAUAGGUAGGAGAAAGAAACAAUAAUAAUUAAAUCAGCCAAGGUCCCACACGACACUGUUGCAAGUGUUUCCAUAUAUGGUCACGUAGCUGCUCUCUCACCACCACGGAAAAGAAACCUGCACAGCAGCCACCACCCCUGCGGGCAGCCGGAGGCCCCUUGUCCAGCUCUGGGAUUUGAAGGUACUGCUGAGCCACUGCUCUGAACAAAGUCAUUUAAUGCCUUUGAUGUCUGCAAUUUAAGGAACACCAGAGAAAAUCUACAGAGAGUUAAUUACAGUGUGCAUUCGUAAAGGCCUUUACAGUUUGCAAAGGGCCUCCAUUGUUCUUCCUGCAAACCCUCUGUGCUCCAUUCUGCCUGGGGUAACCUAGGCCUCCCACGGAGCUAUUUCAGUGCUGUGCAGAGCCCUACAGUGUCCAGGCCCGGGUUCCAUGCUUUAAGAGGAUCACUGACUGAUAGAGUGCCUCAAAAGAGAAAAGCGAGGGAUGAAGUCUAUGGAAAUUAUAAUGAGAGGAAAUAACCUAAAGAAAAGAAGAGGGGUUGCCAUAAUAACUGACGGGUUCUUCUCUCAUUCAAAUGUAUGUUAUACGAUGAGGGUUUAAUUUUGUAUCUUGUGGGGGAAUCAGACGGCAGAGUCAACAUGGAUGACUGGCAAUUGCAAGGAGGCAGAUAAGGUUUAACCUAAGAAUCUUGACCAUAGAAAGGGCUGCCUUAGUACCAGCGAUCUUCCUGGUACUAAGCAUCCUCUGAGUACCACUUAUCAGGGUGAGGGCAGUUCUCUGAAGCUCACCGUCUCAGGCUUUCAAGCCUGCAGGAUAUGAGGAAGCCUCUCCUUCCUGGUCUGGCCCACGCCUUGACUCUUAUUGUCACCGUGAGAUGGACAUUUCAAAACUCGAAAGACAGAGACUUGUCAAAAGACCUCACAAUCCCCUUUGGAAAACAUGCCAAGACAUGCUUAGGAAUUACCACUGCUAUCCUACAGAGCUGGCCACUUCUAGGGUACAGGCCAGGCAGCUGGAGAGCAGGUGUGAGACCACGGGCAUCAGUCCCCCUUCUGAAGUUGAGCAGGACCCCUGCACUCACGCACAGCCCGCCAUGCUCGGUCCAUCAGUCUCUUCCAGCACCAGUGUAUAAUAUUCAGUCUGCACAACACUCUGAUAUGGUGAACUCUUGAAGAGCUGAAACUGUUCUAUUUAUCUUGUAACUCCAAAGCUUACCCAAGUGUUGGCAUUUAUUAGAUACUCAAUAUAUGCCUAAUGGGGGAAUAAAUAUAUUCCAUUUCAAAUAAGCAUCGCCUCAGUGCAGGCACUCUAUCAAUGGCAAGAUAUACAGAAUUAAAAUAAGACACAGUCCCUGCCUUUAAGGAGUGAUGGAUAAUCAGCAGAAUAAAUACAUGAGUGAGUGAGGCAAAAACUCGGGUGGAGUUUUGCCUUUUCAGAUUCCUUUCCACUCUAAGAUUCUAUAAAUCCAUAUUCCUUUCCUCAAUAAAAAUCGCAAGAGCAGAAAAAGUGGCCAUACUGUAGUAGGAUUUUCCUUGGUUUUCAGUCUACCACGGGCAGUACAGCUGAGCUGCCAGCAAAUCAAAUAACUUGAGGACUCAGUCUAUAGCGAAAACAUGAGAUUCUUUUAAUUACUUUGAAGAGUUGGGGAACAAAAGGUCUUGGCAUAAAUUUGUGUCAAAACAAUACAGAAGGUACUUUCUCAUGUUAAGAAAAAAAGGCUUUUGGCCCCGGAAUUUGAAGUGUAUGAUAAUUUUCUCUACGUACUAAUUGAAGAAUUCAAACUAUUUCAUUUAUAUUAAAAAUUAUAACAUA